CACCGCCCGUCGCUACUACCGAUCGAAUGAUUUGGUGAGGUCUUCGGACCGGUGGCGCGGACGGACGCGCCUCGUGCGCCCCGUCCGACGUUCAUCGGAAAGAUGCCCGAACUCGAUCAUUUAGAGGAAGUAAAAGUCGUAACAAGGUUUCCGUAGGUGAACCUGCGGAAG
rnacentral:ncRNA from 1 species